GCAAUGGACGAAAGUCUGACGGAGCAACGCCGCGUGAGUGAUGAAGGCUUUCGGGUCGUAAAACUCUGUUGUUAGGGAAGAACAAGUGCUAGUUGAAUAAGCUGGCACCUUGACGGUACCUAACCAGAAAGCCACGGCUAACUACGUGCCAGCAGCCGCGGUAAUACGUAGGUGGCAAGCGUUAUCCGGAAUUAUUGGGCGUAAAGCGCGCGCAGGUGGUUUCUUAAGUCUGAUGUGAAAGCCCACGGCUCAACCGUGGAGGGUCAUUGGAAACUGGGAGACUUGAGUGCAGAAGAGGAAAGUGGAAUUCCAUGUGUAGCGGUGAAAUGCGUAGAGAUAUGGAGGAACACCAGUGGCGAAGGCGACUUUCUGGUCUGUAACUGACACUGAGGCGCGAAAGCGUGGGGAGCAAACAGGAUUAGAUACCCUGGUAGUCCACGCCGUAAACGAUGAGUGCUAAGUGUUAGAGGGUUUCCGCCCUUUAGUGCUGAAGUUAACGCAUUAAGCACUCCGCCUGGGGAGU
rnacentral:rRNA from 1 species